GACGGAGGAUGCAAGCGUUAUCCGGAAUGAUUGGGCGUAAAGCGUCCGCAGGUGGCAGUUCAAGUCUGCUGUCAAAGACCGGGGCUUAACUUCGGAAAGGCAGUGGAAACUGAACAGCUAGAGUAUGGUAGGGGCAGAGGGAAUUCCUGGUGUAGCGGUGAAAUGCGUAGAGAUCAGGAAGAACAUCGGUGGCGAAGGCGCUCUGCUGGACCAUAACUGACGCUGAGGCGCGAAAGCGUGGGGAGCAAACGGG
rnacentral:rRNA from 1 species